CCCCUAGAUGUUCUGGGCGGCCCGCGCACUACAAUGGCGUGUGCAGCGAGUGCCGAAGUAGAGUUUUCCGAGGUAUUCUUGCAAUGCUCGUUUUGAUGGGGAUAGACCCUUGCAACUGUUGGUUUUGAACGAGGAAUUCCUUGUAAGCAUGGUUUAUCAUCCGACGCUGAAUGCGUCCCUGCCCUUUGUACACACCGCCCGUCGCUCCUACCGAUGAGUCGUCCGGUGAAGUUCGUAGACCUCGUGAUCGCGGAUCACUGGGGGAAGCAAAAUGAACCUCGCGGUUUAGAGGAAGGAGAAGUCGUAACA
rnacentral:rRNA from 1 species